rnacentral:rRNA from 1 species
UACAGAGGUCUCAAGCGUUGUUCGGAUUCAUUGGGCGUAAAGGGUGCGUAGGCGGCGCGGUAAGUCGGGUGUGAAAUCUCGGAGCUUAACUCCGAAACUGCAUUCGAUACUGCCGUGCUUGAGGACUGGAGAGGAGACUGGAAUUUACGGUGUAGCAGUGAAAUGCGUAGAUAUCGUAAGGAAGACCGGUGGCGUAGGCUAGUCUCUGGACAGUUACUGACACUGAGGCACGAAGGCCAGGGGAGCAAACGGG